GGUUUCUCUGUGUAGCCCUGGCUGUCCUGGAACUCACUCUGUAGACCAGGCUGGCCUUGAAUUCAGAAAUUCACCUGCCUCUGCCUCCCAAGUGCUGGGAUUAAAGGCGUGCGCCACCACUGCCUG
ensembl:miRNA Gm26268 predicted gene, 26268